rnacentral:rRNA from 1 species
GAUGAACGCUGGCGGCGUGCCUAAUACAUGCAAGUCGAGCGGACCAAAGAGAGCUUGCUCUCUGAGGUUAGCGGCGGACGGGUGAGUAACACGUGGGUAACCUGCCUGUAAGACGGGGAUAACUUCGGGAAACCGAAGCUAAUACCGGAUGAUAAAGAGAAACGCCUGUUUCUUUUUUGAAAGUCGGCCUUGUGCUGACGCUUACAGAUGGGCCCGCGGCGCAUUAGCUAGUUGGUGAGGUAACGGAUCACCAAGGUGACGAUGCGUAGCCGACCUGAGGGGGUGAUCGGCCACACUGGGACUGAGACACGGCCCAGACUCCUACGGGAGGCAGCAGUAGGGAAUCUUCGGCAAUGGACGAAAGUCUGACCGAGCAACGCCGCGUGAGCGAUGAAGGCCUUCGGGUCGUAAAGCUCUGUUGUCAGAGAAGAACAAGUACCGGAGUAACUGCCGGUACCUUGACGGUACCUGACCAGAAAGCCACGGCUAACUACGUGCCAGCAGCCGCCGUAAGAC